rnacentral:misc_RNA from 1 species
GACACAUAUUUUUGAAAUGUGAUUACAUGAGAUGGUACAAAAUCCAAUAUAUCCAGAUUUUUAUUAUGGAUAACAACUUCUAUAGUCCCAAAACUUUAUCUUCUUUUACAAUCAAGUCCUGAUAUUUUUAAAAUCUUUUGUUCUUGGUCCUAUCCGGUUGAUUGUAAAAACAAAUAUAGAUUAAGGACUACAUAAACUGUUAUCCAUUUUUACCAUCUGUUAAGAUUAUUUGUAACCUCUAGCCAGUAAAAAGAAUCUGAUGUUAUGGUCUGGUAGAUUUGCUUGUCCUCAUUUGACUGUCAAAUUAGUGCUUUGAUAUGCUUUGUCUCUUCUUUCCUUUUAUCUUUUUUUUUCCCCAAGUGAUGAUGAGAUCUGUUGCAAAUGCUUAAAUGCUAUGAGAUUAUGAUUACUGCUGUUAUAGAAUCCUUGUAAACUUCAGCUUGAAAGUUUUGAAUUUAUUUUUGUUU